rnacentral:rRNA from 1 species
AGAGUUUGAUCCUGGCUCAGGAUGAACGCUGGCGGCGUGCCUAACACAUGCAAGUCGAGCGCGAUUAAAUGAAGUGGAGAGCUUGCUCAAAGCGACAUUUAUGAAAGCGGCGGACGGGUGAGUAACGCGUGGGCAACCUGCCCUGUGCAGAGGGAUAGCCACUGGAAACGGUGAUUAAUACCUCAUGGAGCUAUUGAACCGCAUGGUUUGAUGGUGAAAGUUCCGGCGGCACAGGAUGGGCCCGCGUCUGAUUAGCUAGUUGGUGAGGUAACGGCUCACCAAGGCGACGAUCAGUAGCCGACCUGAGAGGGUGAACGGCCACACUGGAACUGAGACACGGUCCAGACUCCUACGGGAGGCAGCAGUGGGGAAUAUUGCACAAUGGGCGCAAGCCUGAUGCAGCAACGCCGCGUGAGUGAAGAAGGCUUUCGGGUCGUAAAGCUCUGUCCUAGGGGAAGAAUAAAUGACGGUACCCUGGGAGGAAGCCCCGGCUAACUCUGUGCCAGCAGCCGCGGUAAUACAGAGGGGGCAAGCGUUAUUCGGAAUUAUUGGGCGUAAAGGGCGCGUAGGCGGUUUUUUAAGUCAGAUGUGUAAUCCCCGAGCUCAACUUGGGAACUGCAUCUGAGACUGGAAGGCUAGAGUACUGGAGAGGGUGGUAGAAUUCCACGUGUAGCGGUGAAAUGCGUAGAGAUGUGGAGGAAUACCAGUGGCGAAGGCGGCCACCUGGACAGUAACUGACGCUGAGGCGCGAGAGCGUGGGUAGCAAACAGGAUUAGAUACCCUGGUAGUCC